rnacentral:rRNA from 1 species
AUUGAACGCUGGCGGCAUGCCUUACACAUGCAAGUCGAACGGUAACAGGUCUUCGGAUGCUGACGAGUGGCGAACGGGUGAGUAAUACAUCGGAACGUGCCCGAUCGUGGGGGAUAACGAAGCGAAAGCUUUGCUAAUACCGCAUAAGAUCUACGGAUGAAAGCAGGGGACCGCAAGGCCUUGCGCGAACGGAGCGACCGAUGGCAGAUUUGGUAGUUGGUGGGAUAAAAGCUUACCAAGCCGACGAUCUGUAGCUGGUCUGGGAGGACGACCAGCCACACUGGGACUGAGACACGGCCCAGACUCCUACGGGAGGCAGCAGUGGGGAAUUUUGGACAAUGGGCGAAAGCCUGAUCCAGCCAUGCCGCGUGCAGGAUGAAGUCCUUCGGGUUGUAAACUGCUUUUGUACGGAACGAAAAGACUCUUUCUAAUAAAGAGGGUCCAUGACGGUACCGUAAGAAUAAGCACCGGCUAACUACGUGCCAGCCGCCGCGGUAAGAC